GCCGCGGUGGCGAAAUUAGGUAGCACGCGAGAGACUUAAAAUCUCUUGGGAGAAAUCCCGUGUGGGUUCGAUUCCCACCCGCGGCACAA
rnacentral:tRNA from 1 species